AUGUUAUAUAGUGUUUAGUUUAGGGCUGCACAAUAAAUACAAUUUUCAUCAUCAUCAUGAUAUUAACAUGUGCGAUAAACACAUUGAGCAAGCAAUAGUGGUACAAAAGUGUACAAGGUGUGCUUUUGUGUUGACAUUGAUUUCUCCAUCAAUUAUUACUAAUGACAAAAAACAGCAUAAUUGCUCCUGGACACUGAAGGGUUUUGAGGCAGCAACUAGAUGCUAGCGAUAGCUAGCUUAUCUGGCCGUCUCUAGCGGUGGAUAUCUAGCUAACACAGGCUAACUGAACUGUAGGCUUCUAGCAAUUUGAAAAGAAAGGCUACAUAACAUCGUUUUUUAAACACGUCACAAGUAGCAUUCUUCGGGUACAUGAUUUUUUUUUUUUUUUUUUUUUUUUUUUUUGCCAGCUGUGUAGUGUAGGCUAGCUAGCUAAACUUUGGUUAUUAGCUGUGUUUUUUUUUAACCUGUGUUUUUGGUUGUUUGACACAGUUCCACAAUUUUUCUGCCUAAUAUGUAAGGCGUAAUUUCCCUCGUCAUAAAGCGUCAAAAAACAAGUGGCUAUGUGGUGUUGGUUUUAUGGAAAGAUUUGCCAUUAAUAGCCUAUAUCGAAACAUUUUAUCCAUUUAAUGCAGUCUGCUGUUUUCCAUAACUGUAAGUUGCUACAGUUGUUAUUUUAAAACGUUUUGCCUACAACAGUAAUUUCCUAUUAUGCUAUGUAAUGUCAGAGAGUUACAUAGUUGAUUUAUAAUGAUGUAAAUAAAUGUAGUGGUGUGUUAUAUUGUGUGUUAAAUGUUUUUGCAAUAUUUUAAACUGGCAGAUGCACUCAGGAAAUAUUUGUUGACUCAGACACUUUCACCUGCUGGACAGAGCACUCCUGAUGCCCCAGAUGCAGCAUUCAGAUCUAGCACUCCAGGCACCAGUGCCACACAGACGAGAGAACCAGAGCCCGCAGCAAGUGAGACAUGUAAGUAUAAGUACAGGUAAAAAGCACUUUUGUUUGCACUUUGUAUGGGGUUCAACCAUUCAUUGAUUCAUAUUUGUUUAUUUAAGAAUGUUGUGUAAUUAAGACAUAUUUUCACAGUUUGUGUUAUCCAACAUUAUGUAAACAUAAUUUGUCAUCAAUAAAAUUUUAAACCAUU